rnacentral:rRNA from 1 species
GAUGAACGCUGGCGGCGUGCCUAAUACAUGCAAGUCGAGCGAACGGACGAGAAGCUUGCUUCUCUGAUGUUAGCGGCGGACGGGCGAGUAACACGUGGAUAACCUACCUAUAAGACUGGGAUAACUUCGGGAAACCGGAGCUAAUACCGGAUAAUAUUUUGAACCGCAUGGGUCAAAAGUGAAAGACGGCGUUGCUGUCACUUAUAGAUGGAUCCGAGCUGCAUUAGCUAGUUGGUAAGGUAACGGCUUAUCAAGGCAACGAUGCAUAGCCGACCUGAGAGGGUGAUCGGCCACACUGGAACUGGGACACGGUCCAGACUCCUACGGGAGGCAGCAGUAGGGAAUCUUCCGCAAUGGGCGGAAGCCUGACGGAGCAGCGCCGCGUGAGUGAUGAAGGUCUUCGGAUCGUAAAACUCUGUUAUUAGGGAAGAACAUAUGUGUAAGUAACUGUGCACAUCUUGACGGUACCUAAUCAGAAAGCCACGGCUAACUACGUG